rnacentral:rRNA from 1 species
UGAGGAAUAUUGGUCAAUGGGCGGGAGCCUGAACCAGCCAAGUCGCGUGAGGGAUGACGGUCCUACGGAUUGUAAACCUCUUUUGCCGGGGAGCAAGCGUGCGUUCGUGAACGCGCGUCGAGAGUACCCGGAGAAAAAGCAUCGGCUAACUCCGUGCC